rnacentral:rRNA from 1 species
UACAGAGGGGGCAAGCGUUAUUCGGAAUUAUUGGGCGUAAAGGGCGCGUAGGCGGCCUGGCAAGUGGAUGGUGAAAUCCCUCGGCUUAACCGAGGAACUGCCAUCCAGACUGCUUGGCUUGAGACCGGGAGAGGUGAGUGGAAUUCCCAGUGUAGCGGUGAAAUGCGUAGAUAUUGGGAGGAACACCAGUGGCGAAGGCGGCUCACUGGACCGGUGCUGACGCUGAGGCGCGAAAGCGUGGGGAGCAAACGGG